CAUCUCACAAGGCAUCAAGGUCGCUCUAAUUUACAUCCUUUUAGAUGGGAGAGAGGUUGAUAAGGUUUUUCACUCUCAUUCCAAUUCUUCUUCGAGAAUAGUAAGCACUUUUGAUUUGAUUCAAGCAAAAAGCUCUUGAAUCUAAAAGAAGCUUUCACACUAGUGGUGUAAGACAGUCAAGCCGAGUCGAGUAGCUAGAAGCUUGACCUUAACUCGACUCAAAAUAGUCAAGCUCGAAAUUCGACUCAAAAUCGAUCAAGUUUUAAUAUUCCAAACUUGAGUUUGGUUUAAUAAAAAAAUGCAUGACUUG
rnacentral:lncRNA from 1 species